CCACUAGAUUCCACCUCCUUGGAGGAAGGAAAAACAAAAAUGAGAGAAUGAGAAGCUGGCAAGAUACUAUACACAAGAGUCUUAUAGUGGUAGCCGUACUACUAGCCACCAUCGCCUUCCAAGUUAGCAUGUCCCCACCUAGCGGGGUUUGGCAUGAUGAUGUGGUGGGUGGCCAAAAUCAUAUGGCACAUACCGCGGCUACCUCCUUCAUGGCCCACAAGUUUCCCAAUGAGUACAAGCUUUUGGUAAUGUGCAACACCAUUUGCUUCCUUACGUGCCUCAGCGUGAUUUUAAUCCUCAUAAACGGUCUACCUUUGUAAUAUCCAGGAGAGGAUAGUCCGUUUAGUGUCGACAGUUAUUUUUUUUUAAUUUUCACAAAAAAGAGCCACAAGUCAUUGAGCCGUUGGUUGCACCGUUAAGGACAUGAAGUGUCGACAUUCCGCUUAGAAUGGACGAUUAUUUUUUAUUUAUUUUCUAAACUAAGACUUGUGAGAAAAGCAAAAGUUGGCACUUGCUUGUUAAUAUGGCCACUAGAUUUCACGUCCAUGGAUGAAGAAAAAACAAAAAUGAGAGAAUGAGAAGCUGGCAAGAUUCUAUACACAAGAGUCCUAUUGUAGUGGCCGUACUGCUGGCCACCAUGGCCUUCCAAGUUAGCAUGUUCCCAUCCGGCGGUGUUUAGCAGGAUGAUGUGGAGGGUGGCCAAAAUCAUAUGGCACGUACUGCGGGUAUCUCCGUCACGGCCCACAAGUUCUCCGAUGAGUACAAGCUUUUGAUAA